GUGAAUUGUAAAGGUAAGGAGAGGGUGGAGGUGGAGAGCUCAAUGGAGCUGGUGGUGGUGGUGAAUUUGGUGGCGGUGGUGGUGGGGGCCGCACACAAUAUGGUGGCGAUGGUGUUGGUGGAGGUGGUGGCGAUGGUGUCGGUGGCGGUGGAGGUGGAGGUGGUGGCGAUGGUGUCGGUGGCGGUGGAGGUGGAGGUGGUGGCGAUGGUGUUGGUGGCGGUGGUGGUGAUGGCGAUGGUGGUGGAGGUGAUGGGGGAGGUGGUGGUGGAGGUGGUGGGGGGGAAGGUGAGGGUGGGGGAG
rnacentral:lncRNA from 1 species